AGUGAACGCUGGCGGUAGGCCUAACACAUGCAAGUCGAACGGCAGCACAGUAAGAGCUUGCUCUUACGGGUGGCGAGUGGCGGACGGGUGAGGAAUACAUCGGCAUCUACUUUUUCGUGGGGGAUAACGUAGGGAAACUUACGCUAAUACCGCAUACGACCUACGGGUGAAAGCAGGGGAUCUUCGGACCUUGCGCGAUUGAAUGAGCCGAUGUCGGAUUAGCUAGUUGGCGGGGUAAAGGCCCACCAAGGCGACGAUCCGUAGCUGGUCUGAGAGGAUGAUCAGCCACACUGGAACUGAGACGCGGUCCAGGCUCCUACGGGAGGCAGCAGUGGGGAAUAUUGGACAAUGGGCGCAAGCCUGAUCCAGCCAUACCGCGUGGGUGAAGAAGGCCUUCGGGUUGUAAAGCCCUUUUGUUGGGAAAGAAAAGCAGCAGGUUAAUACCCCGCUGUUCUGACGGUACCCAAAGAAUAAGCACCGGCUAACUUCGUG
rnacentral:rRNA from 1 species